GGUCGCUAUUUCCUGUUGACGUGUUCCUCUGAUGCAUUCAUGCAUGCGUAUUCAUGAAAGUGACAGAAACGAAAGCAAUAAGGAAAACAUUUCCUUGAAUUCUUGUCGUUUCAGAGCUUUUCACAGGUCGGAUUCGGAUCAGAAAAUGGAGACGCUUUACCACCAGACUAACAAGCAAAUCCAGGAGAUCCAGUCUCAUAUGGGCCGCCUGGAGACGACCGAGCGACGGUCGGUGCACCUGGUUGAAAAUGAGCUACAGGCCAGGAUCGAGCAAGUCUUCACCUAUCUGGAACGACUGGAGAUCCUAGCCGGGAAAGAAUUGCCGAACCGCCGCCAGAACGCCAAACUGCGUGUAGAGCAGCUAAAGUACGAUGUACAGCAUAUGCAGUCAGCUCUGAGAAACUUCCAGCAGAGAAGAUACACACACGAGGCUCAGGAGAGGGAGAGGGAAGAGCUCAUGAGUCGGACCUUCACCACAAAUGACUCGGAUACAUCCAUCCCCAUAGAUGACACACUUCAGUUUAAUUCCAACCUGCAAAAUGCACACAAAGGCAUGGAUGAGCUUCUUGGCUCUGGCUCAAGCAUCCUUCAUAGUCUCCGUGAUCAGAGGAGCACUCUUAAGGGUACUCAUAAGAAGAUGCUGGAUGUGGCUAACAUGUUAGGGCUGUCCAACACAGUGAUGCGUCUGAUCGAGAAACGAGCCGGUCAGGAUAAGUUCCUCAUGGUGGGGGGCAUGCUGAUCACCUGCGUUGUCAUGUUCCUGGUAGUCAAAUACCUGAGCUGAAACUUCUUGCCUCAAACGGACGAAAACAUGAACAAUCAAAGUUGCAGCACAAUGGUUUUCGUAUUUAGAAAGAACGCCAGAGGGAGCCGCAGCAGAGGGAUGAAAGAGACACUUGCGGCUCCGGAGCCGCGGGUUGCCGAACCCCUGACCUACAGCAAAGGCACACACUUAUCCCCUGUUAAAUCAAUCUUUAAGAUAAUAAAGCUAAUAAAAUCAGCUUUGGUUCAGCACAGAAUGAUGUGUUUUUACAAAAAAGGUGAAAUCAGCCCAAGUAUUCUACAGAGUAACCCAAGUGCCCGGUACUUUGCUAUCAAAUGUGCCACCUGGUGGCUCAAUCAAAUACUGCGAGUUCAUUAAAGACACCAGUACCGAAUAAAAAUUCCUGAUAAUACAAAACUCUUGGACAAACCACUAGAACAAGAGCCAAAUAAAGUACACUGUCUGUGGGAACCGUUGGGGCAUCGACCGCUACUCCAAAUUUUCCUGAGUGGCCAAUAAACUCACACGUACCCCUUUCUAUGAACACAACAAUUAUACAAUAACACAGACUGGAGCCCUUUAGGUCUCAAAAAUGCUUUAUUUUCUGACACAUCAAUAAAGAAUAAAAAAGUAAAUAUCGUUGCUUUCGUUUAAUCAAUCCAUUAUGCAGCAACACCUCGCCCCUAAGUCCCAGUCCCUUUACAUCACAGACUCACCUGAUAACCGCUCCACUUACAGCAGGUUCACAAGCUAUUGUACCAUACCUGAUCAAACCACUUCCUUGCUGUUUGUUUAGUUUUUUUUUUUUUUAAUUCAUCCUUUUUGUACUAAUUUUAAACAGUUACAAAGGCAGCUUAUAUUACAAUACUUCAAUACCUAUUUACAAAGAUGUAAAUUACACAAGGGAAAGCUCAAAAAAAAAAAAAAACCUGGAAAAUAAUUUAAAAUCAAAUAAAAAAAUUAUUGCAGAAUACUACAAUCAUACAGUUCUUACAUGAUGCAAAAGCAGCAUCUUGAUGUCCAUUUUUCAGUGCAACUUAAGUCCAUCAGAGCGUAGGGGCAACCUAAGACAGUGUAACAGAACGAACAUCAACAUCAUCUGACAUCGAGGUUAAGCGCCUCGGUUGUGUCUAGUUUUCUUCAUUUUUAUCAACGAUUUAUCUCAAACCAUUGAAAGUUACAUUAGGUAUGAAAUAUGGCUUCGAUCCCUCUCACAUAAUUCCUGUUCUUGUUUUGGUUCUUUAAGUAAAAGAUAGGUAAAGUUGUUUACAAUAAUUAUUGUUUAUAGGCCCACAUCAUUACUGUGCACAGAAAGUCUCUUUAGCUACAAGGGUUCAAAAUAAGACCAUAUAGAAUAAUAUAUAGUUUAGUUUGACUGUUGCG